rnacentral:rRNA from 1 species
AUACGUAGGUGGCAAGCGUUGUCCGGAUUUAUUGGGCGUAAAGCGAGCGCAGGCGGUUUCUUAAGUCUGAUGUGAAAGCCCCCGGCUCAACCGGGGAGGGUCAUUGGAAACUGGGGAACUUGAGUGCAGAAGAGGAGAGUGGAAUUCCAAGUGUAGCGGUGAAAUGCGUAGAUAUAUGGAGGAACACCAGUGGCGAAGGCGGCUCUCUGGUCUGUAACUGACGCUGAGGCUCGAAAGCGUGGGGAGCAAACAGGAUUAGAUACCCUGGUAGUCCACGCCGUAAACGAUGAGUGCUAAGUGUUGGAGGGUUUCCGCCCUUCAGUGCUGCAGCUAACGCAUUAAGCACUCCGCCUGGGGAGUACGACCGCAAGGUUGAAACUCAAAUGAAUUGACGGGG